GAGGGAUGUCACUUAAAUCUAGACCCUCAGUCGGCAAAUCAGAUGUAAGUGGGGCUAGCAUCCCAUCGGAAUUGAGGCUCAGUCCACUCUCUGGCUGAAACCUCAGCAUAUCAGCACGGGCCAUGGCCUCAGCUUGAGCUAUUCUCUGCCUGAAAGUCUGAGCCAUCUCAUCGGCCUUCUCAAGGACAAGCUUUGGAUUGCGAAUCAU
rnacentral:misc_RNA from 1 species